rnacentral:tRNA from 1 species
GCGCGCCUAGCCCAACCGGCAGAGGCAGCGGACUUAAAAUCCGUCAAGUCCCGGUUCGAAUCCGGGGGCGCGCACCA